rnacentral:misc_RNA from 1 species
GAUGAAGAACGUAGCGAAAUGCGAUAAGUAAUGUGAAUUGCAGAAUUCAGUGAAUCAUCGAAUCUUUGAACGCACCUUGCGCUCCUUGGUAUUCCGAGGAGCAUGCCUGUUUGAGUGUCAUUAAAUUCUCAACCUCACCAGUUUUGUUAUGAGACUGUGUAAGGCUUGGAUGUGGGGGUUUUUGCAGGCUGCCUCUGUGCGGUCUGCUCCCCUGAAAUGCAUUGGCGAGUUCACUAAGCUCCGUCUAUUGGUGUGAUAAUUAUCUACGCCGUGGAAUGGGUUUAGACUUGCUUCUAACCGUCUGCAAAGACAACUUUUGACAAUUUGACCUCAAAUCAGGUAGGACUACCCGCUGAACUUAAGCAUAUCAAUAAGCGGAGGA